UCGAAUUAAUACCUUUUCUCAAAACCAUUCACUUUUAACAUAGUCGUUGUAUUGGUAAAACGAAAGCCUAAGCUUUCUCAUCCUGUCAAUAACACUAAUCGCCGUCAAGUGAAAAAUAAUGGACACUGGGAUUUGCCAAGUGAACAAGAUUUGAGACGAGAUGUAACUCUUCCGCUUCCAAGCGUUUCUGUUCUUCUUCUUUACCCCCUGAACCGUCUUCAUCAUCUCCACGCCCUACCAAGCGAUCUAAGCUUAGGCGGUGGAACCGGCGGGGUCUUCCUCGGCGAGCGAGGUUCCUCUGAUCCCCAAACUAUGGAUUUGGAGAAGCCUGUUUUAACUGAUGUGCCUGUGAUGGAGAUCUAUCCUGAAGCCGACACAAAACCUGAAGCCGAUGUCUUAGCGACACCUACCGUGACAGGUGAAGUGGUGACGGAUGGUAAGAAGUCGAAGGCGGGGAAGAAGCGAACUAAGGCUCCAUGGGCGAAACUACUUUCUCAGUAUUAUCAGGCAUGCUUUGAUGCGCCAGGGGUUUAGUAAAUUUAAGUUUUUUUUUCCAUCUCAAGAAAAUUCUUAAAGGAAAUAAGGAAAAGAAAAUGUUGCUUACAUUGGUUGAUUUUUUAGGAUGUUUCAAGAGAUUUCAAAAGCACCUUGGAGCAUGAAAUUGGCCUUGAUGAAAUCUCAACGCUAGAUGUCUACAACCGGAACAGAAUGCACAGUGCUCCCCUCCUCCACCACCUGUUGGAAACAUUGAAGAUCCUGUGACUACUACAAGUGAGCCCAAUGAUGCUCAAUCACAAAAAGCUUACACAAUCGAGGAUUACCUCAAGAUCACUGAAGAGCAGAUCAAAGCUUCAUCUCCUGGUAAAAGCCAAACAGAGGAUCAAAUUCAGACUCAAGAACCUGCUGUACAAAGCCAGCCUGAAGUUACAUCGAGAGAGACCAUGGCUGCAUCUCCUCCAAGGCAAGAUUGAAAGGCACCCAAAAAAUUGAGUCGUCAUGUUAAAAGCAUUAAAGCCUCUAUGUCUCCUACUUAAUGAUUAUAAAUGGGGUUUGUUAGUUAAAUAUCGUCCUACUCUUGAAUGACCAACCCAUCAUUUUAUGAGUCAAAGAUAGUUAAUAGGGAAACUUGAUUGUAUAACUAAAAACUUAAUAUUACUAAUCUGAUAUGUGUUUCAAACCCA